CCUACGGGAGGCAGCAGUAGGGAAUCUUCCACAAUGGACGAAAGUCUGAUGGAGCAACGCCGCGUGAGUGAAGACGGGCCUCGGCUCGUUAAGCUCUGUUGGUAGUGAAGUAAGAUAGUGGACGUAACUGGUCUUUUUUUUACGGUAUUUACUAAGAAAGUCACGGCUAACUACGUGCCAGCAGCUGCGGUAAUACGUAGGUGGCAAGCGUUGUCCGGAUUUAUUGGGCGUAAAGGGAGUGCAGGCGGUUUAUUAAGUCUGAUGUGAAAGCCUUCGGCUCAACCGGAGAAUUGCAGCUGAAACUGGUAGACUUGAGUGCAGAAGAGGAGAGUGGAACUCCAGGUGUAGCGGUGAAAUGCGUAGAUAUAUGGAAGAACACCAGUGGCGAAGGCAGCUCUCUGGACUGCAACUGACGCUGAGGCUCGAAAGCGUGGGUAGCAAACAGGAUUAGAUACCCUUGUAGUC
rnacentral:rRNA from 1 species